rnacentral:rRNA from 1 species
GGGUUGUGAGGUUAAGCGACUAAGCGUACACGGUGGAUGCCCUGGCAGUCAGAGGCGAUGAAGGACGUGCUAAUCUGCGAUAAGCGCCGGUAAGGUGAUAUGAACCGUUAUAACCGGCGAUUUCCGAAUGGGGAAACCCAGUGUGACUCGUCACACUAUCAUUAACUGAAUCCAUAGGUUAAUGAGGCGAACCGGGGGAACUGAAACAUCUAAGUACCCCGAGGAAAAGAAAUCAACCGAGAUUCCCCCAGUAGCGGCGAGCGAACGGGGAGGAGCCCAGAGCC